GCCAACUUUCUUGGGCAUGACAUUAGAGUCCAUCGUGAGUUCUAUCGACUACCUGAGAAAACACUGCAGCUUGCCAAGGUCAGCAAACUUCUAAUGGCCCUCGAGCAAGGAAGACUGGCCGAGUUCCAUGGCAAGAACCUGGAUGAAAUCACCAUAGGUCCAGAUGACACAGUUCUUUGUCAUGAUGAGACCGAUGAGACGGAUGAGACCAGAGAAGGACACUAUUCAUCUCAAGAGUCUUUGGCAGAAGAGACUCUUCCACCUACAGAGGAAAAUGACAUCCCAC